CAAAGUUUUGAUCAGCAAUUCAGAGGGAAAUCCUAUAUUAAGUGCUAUUGGCCACAUUUCAUGAAAAGUUCAACACAGUAGGGAGUGGCCGCAGGGCCCAGCUGGAAGAACCUCACUUUGUUGACACCUGGCCUGAUAGUCAUUUCCUUAGUGACCAGCCCUUCUGAGAACAGAUCUCUGAGCUGGUGUGUUAAGUUGGGGUUCUGUGGUAACACUGACAACUGGAUCCUCUGGAAGGAAUGUCCAAGAAGUGGUGAGAAAAUUUCCAACAGGUGUUGAGGCAGCUCUAGGUGGGGAGUUAAGUUGGAGAGAAGGCUUUCGAGGGGCUUAGAAUCUUCCUUCUCCCAAGUCAGGAGAACGAAAUGACUGCUUCCUGAGGACAGUUCGCAUGGCUGUUCUCACCAGCAGGAUCUGAUUUUCCCGAAGCAGUGACUUCCUAGGAGCCUUCAGAGAAAAGGGAGCAGAAAACCAAAACUCAUACCUAUACCCAAAUCAUGAUCUAAAGUUGUAUUCUUCAUAUGUUGACAUGCUUAUUGACUGCCUCCUCCAUUAAAAUGGAUUUUCUUUCAUGAGGACAAAAGACUGUUGUGUUCACCAGUGAAGCUCCUCUUCACAGAAUACUACCCACUUAAUGGAACUACUUUGGCAUGAAGAAAGACAUUAAUUAUUGCAUGGUAAAUGAGGUUACUUGGAAGAAAACAGACUUGCUAUCUACCUUGCUCCUGCUCUACUGAUCUG
ensembl:lncRNA